AAACAUGCCCAUAUCGGCCCGAUAUCGGCUAAAUGAUGGAAUAUCGGCAGAGGUUUGCCGAUGUUGGGCCGACAUCGGACCGACAUUUAUGUUAAACAAAAAAUAUUUUGUUAAGAGAUGAGAACUUUUUGCAAUUUUCCAUUUUAGUGAAUCCAUCUGGUUUAAUAACGUUUGAUUAGGUCGCAUAUUAUUCAAUUUAUAUUUAUAGGACAAUGUCGGCCCGAUAUCGGCCCGUUGUUAUAAAAAUACUUAUAACUCCACAGUUCAAAGUAUGAUAUCGGCCCAACAUAGGCCCGAUAUCAUAAUUAACACUCAAGAGAAAAGGUAACUUUGAUUAUUUUCUUUUUAUUUUCAUGUUGCGUUAAAUUUAAUUGUCUGUGUCUCUUUUAAAAACCGUGAAAGAUAGGUCGCAUAUUAUACAAUUUAUAUUUAUAGGACAAUGUCGGCCCGAUGUCGGCCCGUUGUUAUAAAAAUACUUAUAACUCAACAGUUCAAAGUAUGAUAUCGGCCCAACAUAGGCCCGAUAUCAUAAUUAGCACUCAAGAGCAAAGGUAACUUUGAUUAUUUUCUUUUUAAUUUCUUGUUAUUAAAUUUAAUUAUUAUGCCUCUUUUAAAAACCGUGUAAGAUACUUGAUAUAAAAUCAAUAUUAUCAUGUCCAGGAAGAGUAACCGUUGUUAAAAGGAAAUACACAGGUUGCUUCCCUUGGCUCUUGUGCAGUGAAUCUGCCCAGGCUUUGGAAGUAAACAAAAUAAAGUAUGUCAACUAAAUUUAUAUCAUAUAAUGUUAUAAAAUACCUUUCAUUUAAUAAAUGUAUUUGUCAUAUUACUUUUUAUGUAAAUAUGCGUUUGAAAUAUUUGACUUUAAAAUAUAUUCAGUCCUGUAUGAUCAUACAAAUAGGCGCGCGAUAAAGCUGCAUUGACUCAAUUUCGAAAUUAUCAAGGUAAGCCAUUUGUCUGUAUUGGGUGGCCGAAACCGCGCUGAUGUGUGCCGGCGCAUUCUAAAGCAUUGCAUGUCAAAUGAGGUGGCCAACCAGUACAGCUGGCAUGGGAGGAAGAAAAAGGCAGUAUUUGGAAAACUUCCAUUGGCUGAUGCUGUGCAGAAAGCUGUCAUGCGGUCCUAUAAAUGCACAGCUGCAGAAGUUGAACAUGAGUGCAGGGAAUGGUUUAGAACAGCCUCUGACCGUGACGGUGGAAGAAAAAAGAGGACAGCCAAAAAAAGUGAUGAACCGUCCCAAUGAAUUUUAACUCGUGUGUGUUUUAACUUUUAAUUUAGUCUCCUGCUGCAAUUUGUUAUGAUGUAAAGGUCUCUUUGAACUUUAAAUUAAUGAUUUUACACAACUUUUCUUUUAAUAUGCAUAAUGAUGGAAGCAGUGUGUAUUUUUUUUUGUUUUUUUUUUGCCUUUAUUACCAAAAUAGCUGUAACUCUGUGUGUUGCUUAGGUAAACGUAACUUUUCAAUAUAUUCUUGUUCUAAUUGUUUUCAUUUGUCAUUUUUGAAGAAAACAAGUUUCAUGUAGUUUGUAUUAAUAUUGAAGACAAUUUUCUCGUAAUAUUUUUUAUUCAAAACUUUCUAGAAAUGCCCAUAAUUUAUGUCAAAGUUCAGGGGACAUACAAGGUGUUUAUUUCUGAAAAUACUCAAUUAUAAAAACCAAUUCCCUCAAUUCAUUUUGAAUUUGAUAAGUGACAGAACUCAAUUAUUUUUAUUUUCAAGUGAUCAUUUCCUGGUGAAAACAACAAAUAAUUUUAAUAGAUGUUAGUUUAAGGUAUUUAUAACCAUAUGUAAAUAAGUCCCAGUAAACUACUCAAUUAUAUAUCAUUCAGCAAUCUAUUGCUCUGUCCUACUGCAAUGUAUUCAUAAACAAAUACUGGCUGCUUUAUACUGCAUAACAUUAUUAGUUCUCUUUAAAGGAAUGGUCUGACUUAAUGGCUUUUUUUUCAGUAUUUUGGGAAUGUGACCCCAUUCCAUGAAAUUGGGAAAUGUUGUGUCAAUAUAUAUAUUUACCUGCAGUUCAGAAAAAGUACAACUGAUUAACUACAAGUCUUAUUCCACAUUUCACAGCUAGUAUUUACCAUUUAAGACUAUUCAACAAUGAGGAAUUGCUUGACUUCAUUUAGGGGGAAAAAUGUGUUCUGCCAUUGAGAACAUGGCCCAUUACCUUAAAGUGAGAUUUCUAGUCACUUGUACAUUUACAUUUUGUGCCAUUACUAUGUUGUGUUUUUUUUGCUGGAUAGCAAUUUGCUGAAUUUACUUGUUACAAUUUUUUGUGUAUCGUAUGACUGCUUUGUUGUAUUUUGCUGACUAGUCUUGUUACUAUUUUUUGUGUAUCAUAUGAUUACAUUGUUGUAUUUGGCUGACUAGUCUUACUUGUUACUAUUUAUUGUGUAUCGUAUGACUACUAUGUUGUAUUUUGCUGACUAGUCUUAUUUGUUACUAUGUUUUGUGCAUCGUUUGACUACUAUGUUGUACUUUGCUGACUAGUCUUACUUGUUACUAUUUUUUGUGUAUGGUAUGACUACUUUGUUGUAUUUUGCUGACUAGUCUUAUUUGUUACUAUUUUGUGUGUAUCUUAUGACUGCUAUGUUGUAUUUUGCUGACUAGUCUUACUUGUUACUAAUUUUUGUGUAUCGUAUGACUACUAUGUUGUAUUUUGCUAACUAGUCUUAAUUGUUACUAUUUUAUGGGUAUCGUACGCUAUGCAGUUUAAAGAAAGGGUUAUUUUAUUAAUUGCCAGGGUAUAUAGACCAGUUUUGAUAAUAUGGGUGACAUGAACCAUUUAUACAUGCAUGUUUGGUAAUUUUCCAUGUAUACAGUAUGCGUGUUGGAUACGUUGGUUUUCUUCAUUAUUUUCUAUUUUAUUUUCCUUUGCUGAAUAUUCUAUUACCAAAAUACAAAACUCAAGUCAUUUGGUCAUUUAACAUUUUGUUUCAAUGUGUUACUUUUUCAGUUUCUGUACCUUUAGAAUUAUAGAGUCUGUUUAAAUAAUUUCUUUUACAUUUGUUGUUAGUCAAUGUAUAUAUUAAUUAAGUUUACACCAUUAGAAUAAAAAUGUUGGAAUUGUAAUAAAUCAGUUUAAUAUUUUCAGUUUCAAGACAGUAGUAUAAUUAGCAAAUACUGUGUUCC